rnacentral:lncRNA from 1 species
GACACCUCUAAUUUGUCAAAGGAACUCUCCAAGUUGGAGUUAGAUUAGAGAAAACCCUUCUUGAUGAUAAGAAGUUGUACAAAAAGCUUAGAUUAAAGAAACAAUCAGAACUAGAAAGCAGUAACAAUCGUGCCUCCCAGAAACAACUUCAAAGUUACAGUGAAGGCGCUUCUAUUGGCGCUUUCCGUAGUGUCUCCUUUUCUUUAAUACCUGUAAAUCCCGAUUUAAAAGAUAAAAUUUAUGGUGAUUUGUACAAUACUUACAUUUGUUUCUCUGCUACCUUAACAGAUAGUGAAGUGGCUGAUAUUCUUUACGAUAUGGAGUUUGAAUCACUCACUGAAGGCGCUUUAUACAAAGUUCUUGGUGGUUCAAUUAAGGAACGUAGAAGUAGAAAAUUUAAACCAGUUAUUUCUUAAACAGCUUUAAAAAUUUCCCGGUUUUAACGGAAAAUUUUCUUUAGUAAAAUUUAUAAACAAGGUCAAUCAGCAUUAUAACGUGAACUUUUUCUAAAGUUCUCAGAACCUUUCAAGUGCAACACUAGUGUUGCACUUUACUGUUACAACAGUAUAAUAAAAUACUUUGCACUGAUCAAAAAACUUCAACUUUUAAACUAAAAACGACAAAAAGUAAAAAAGCAAAAUAAAAUUUAGCAAAAAACACAAAAAGUGCGUCACAUGCGUCACAUGCGUCACAUGCGUCACGAGUCUUAUGUGCGUCCUUUAUUGGACUUUCAAAAAAACGACAAAAAGUAAAAAAGCAAAAUAAAAAAUCACAAAAAACGCAAAAAGUGCGUCACAUGCGUCACAUGCGUCACAAGCGUCACAAUCGUCACAAGCGUCACAAGCGUCACAAUUAAAAUUUGCGCCACAAAAGCAUAAGUCACACACCAGAUAAGACAUUGAAGUGUGUACGACUUGUGAGGUAUAUGACUUUCGUAAAGCAAGUGGCGCUUGUGACGCUCAUGACGCUUGUAACGCACUUUUCGGGGUUUUUAUUUCCUCUUUUUCUUCGUUUUCAGUUUGUUAUGAAAGUUUAAUUAUUGACGCUAGUAAAGCUAGUGACGCAUGUGAAGCAUGUGACGCUUGUGACGCAUGUGACGCAUGUGACGCACUUUUUGCGUUUUUUGUGAUUUUCAGAUUCUACUUUUUCACUUUCUGUCGUUUUUAGUUUAUGUUUUUCCUUGUCUAUAUAUAUCUAUGUAUCUCAACACUAAGGGAGCGGGGAGAAAUACAUAAUCUAUAUGGAUUUACUUGUUAAUGCCUUGAGGUUUUACAUGGUAACGUAAUCUUUAGUUGUAGUAAUAUAAACAAAUCUAUAAACUAUAGCGAAAGGUAUAACUAAUUAUUGAAGUGCUAUUGUCUCAUGUUUAAUAGACACUUCAGUAAUAGUAGUACUCUUUUUACGUGUCUGCUUCUCCUUUAACUGUUACUUUUAGAGCAAGACUUAUACACGCUUUUGAGUAACUUCCCAGCUCUUUGUUAAUUCGUUGUUCAACGUAGUUUAUAUCUAAGUUUUCAGCAUGUAGUAUCAGCACG